GAAACGCGAUAGUUAAUGUGAAUUGCAGAAUUCAGUGAAUCAUCGAGUCUUUGAACGCACAUUGCGCCCAUAGGUAUUCCUUUGGGCAUGUCUGUUUGAGCGUCAUUACAACCCUCAGCUAACCGCUGGUUUUGAACCUGAACGGGUGACACCGCGCCGGUUUUAAAGUUGUAAGCUCUACUGGCCGCUCUGCCCAACCAGAACAUAGUAAGCACUACUUGUCCGGGUGAAGCUGAACGGUACGGCCUGAACAAAACCUACCCACUCUCAAGGUUUGACCUCAGAUCAGACAAGGAUACCCGCUGAACUUAAGC
rnacentral:misc_RNA from 1 species